GUCCUGCCACGGACGGGGGCCACGCCGGUCGGGGAUGUGGCCUUCACUCCUGCUCCCCUGAGCCCCACGCCCCGGCCGCGCAGCGGGUCCACUGUCCCUCCUGUGCCUCGGGAGUGGCCACCCCGCCUCUAGCUGCUGAGACCCCAGAGGCUGUCACACCUGCCCCACUGGGACUCCCAGGUGAAGGGCGGGCUUGCAGCAGCCGCUUCCCACAGGGCUUCUCGGGGGUCCCCGUCAUCUCCUUCCCUGCUCAUUUCCCUUGACCCUUUAUUUUUAAAUUAUGAAAUAUUUCAAGCAUACAAAAAUUACAGAGAAUCAUUAAAAAGUAUACACUAUUAUGAAAUAGAUAUGGAUGCCUUGAAGAUGGCUGUCCUGGAAAGUUCCCUGUUCUGGGCUGUGGUUUCUCCACGCUGCCCGAAGGGGGACAGAACCAAAGCCGGUGUGAGCUGACACCCCUGGAAGAUGGAGGGGCUGGGGCUGAGCCAGGCCUGCCCUGCCCACCGUGGGCAGCCAGGGUGAGCUGGACAUCUCGCAGGGGUCCGACACCCUCUGCAUGAGUACAUGAGGCAGCGAGGCAAAGAACCUCAAGGCGAGGGCUGGCUGGAAGCCCUGAACGUCGCAGCCCAGACCCAAGAGCCCCACGGCUGCAUCCCAGGUCUGCGACUCCGAGAAGCUGUCCUGGUGACUCUUUCCACCUGUGGUUUUGCUUUUUAAAUAAAUGCUCACUCUCAUCAACCCCCAGGCACAGGCCCAGGCUGAAGAGGAAAGACAAGAGCCGCCCUGCCCAGAAACGUCCACAUGUGGGUACUGCAUUCCUACCGGUGUGACAGGUCAGUGUGACAGGUCGGUGUGACAGGCACCGGUGUGACAGGUCGGUGUGACAGGCACCAGUGUGACAGGCACCAGUGUGACAGGUCGGUGUGACAGACACCGGUGACAAGUCAGUGUGACAGGCAGUGGUGUGACAGGCACCGGUGUGACAGGUCGGUGUGACAGGUACUGUUGUGACAGGUCGGUGUGAGACACUGGUGUGACAAGUCAGUGUGACAGGCAGUGGUGUGACAGGCACCGGUGUGACAGGUCAGUGUGACAGGUACUGUUGUGACAGGUCGGUGUGAGACACUGGUGUGACAAGUCAGUGUGACAGGCAGUGGUGUGACAGGUCGGUGUGACAGGCACCAGUGUGACAGGCCCCGGUGUGACAGGUAGGUCAUGCUGUGACAGGCCCCGGUGUGACAGGUCGGUGUGACAGGCACCAGUGUGACAGGCCCCGGUGUGACAGGUAGGUCAUGCUGUGACAGGCACCGGUGUGACAGGCCCCGGUGUGACAGGUCGGUGUGACAGGCACCGGUGUGACAGGUCGGUCACGUUGGCUCCCUGGCACGCGGCAGAGUGGGGACCGUGCCCCCGUGAGUGUCACACUGGGGUCCACACCAGGCUGAUCCACUGUGAGCUGGGAGUUGCCAUAGAGACUCUAUAAAUACAACCAAACAUCUUCCAGGGAACAGAAGCGUUUCUCAUCCCAAACCUCCACAUGGCCCUGGAGAUCCCCAACACCUUAGCAAAGGCCAGGUCUUCACGGAAGUGUUUCUCCCGAAAGCCCCCACCGGCGAGGGCCCCCGGAACCACCGUGAAGGGCCCGCGGGGCCAGGGGCCGCCUACCUCACAGGUGUCCAUGUCCUGGGACAGCUUGAGGCCCCCACGCCCGUCACAGUGGCAGGAGUAGGAGCCGGGCAGGUUCUUGCAGCGCGCCUCCCCGCAGGCCUCCGAGUCUGCGCACUCGUCUAUGUCUGCAAGCAAAAAAAAACCGGCCAACCGCAGCACAGCGGCAUCUCAGACGGGGCUGGGGCAGGCGGCUGCAGGGACUGGCCAGGGCACCACCCAGAGGUCGCAUCCAGACUCUGUGGGGCCAGCGCGCCCUGGCCCCAUUUCCCUGCCCUCCUCCCCUGACCGGGCAGCUCCCGGGGUGUUGGUGCACGCUUCUGAUCAAGGCCCGGCUGGGAAGGCUGACUUCAGCCCAGCAGGUGGAGAGCUGGGAAGGGCCCUGCUUGGUGGAGGGGUGGGGGGCGGCGGUGCACGCUGUGCUGUUCCAUUUAAAUGACGGUGCUACAGGACACGGGGCCGUAAAAAGUAACCCCCCGGGGGCAUUUGAAACUAAAACCCCAACCCCAAAGAGAAGCAUUUACUGGUUUCAAUCAAUUUUCACUACCGGGUUAAACCACAAUCCUAAGACUUGAGCAUCUAAUGUGGGACAGAUGCUGUUUACGGCCAAGCACCCUGGGGUAGGAGGGGCAACCCUGAAAUGAAGAGCCCUUUAGUCACCAGAGGAGAGCAAAGGCAGGGGCACGGAGAAAGGUGGGGGAGGAGAAGGGGGAGUAGGAGUGGGAGGAGGAAGGGGGGAGGGGAAGGAGGAAGAGGAGGAGGAGGAGGGGGAGAAGGGGGAGGGGGAG
rnacentral:lncRNA from 1 species